rnacentral:rRNA from 1 species
GUACGUUUUCACCUCGGGUGACAGGGAGACAGGUGGUGCAUGGUUGUCGUCAGCUCGUGUCGUGAGAUGUUGGGUUAAGUCCCGCAACGAGCGCAACCCCUACGUUUAGUUGCUAACGCGUGAAGGCGAGCACUCUAGACGAACUGCCGUUGACAAAACGGAGGAAGGUGGGAUGACGUCAAAUCAUCAUGCCCCUUAUGUUCUGGGCUACACACGUGCUACAAUGGCCGGUACAGACGGACGCAAAGCCGCGAGGUGGAGCAAAUCCUAAAAAGCCGGUCUCAGUUCGGAUUGCAGGCUGCAAUUCGCCUGCAUGAAGUCGGAAUCGCUAGUAAUCGCAGGUCAGCAUACUGCGGUGAAUACGUUCCCGGGCCUU